rnacentral:rRNA from 1 species
UACGUGAGGGGCAAGCGUUGUCCGGAUUUAUUGGGCGUAAAGGGUGCGUAGGCGGCGCGGUAAGUCGGGUGUGAAAUCUUGGAGCUUAACUCCGAAACUGCAUUCGAUACUGCCGUGCUUGAGGACUGGAGAGGAGACUGGAAUUUACGGUGUAGCGGUGAAAUGCGUAGAUAUGCGGAGGAACACCGAUGGCGAAGGCAAUCCCCUGGGCCUGCACUGACGCUCAUGCACGAAAGCGUGGGGAGCAAACAGG